GAUAGAAUAGCCGAGCUUUAGGCACUAAACUGUAAAUUUAGGGACGAGAAAUUUCUUUUCUAUUA
rnacentral:tRNA from 1 species